UAUCGCACAGUGGGGGAUACCGCUGGGAAACCGGCGCUAAUACCGCAUGUGGUGCAGCGAGUGAGAUCGGUGCACGAAAGCAGCAAUGCGCUGAGUGAGGGGCCUGCGUCCGAUUAGCUAGUUGGUGGGGUAAGGGCCUACCAAGGCGACGAUCGGUAGCUGGUCUGAGAGGACGGUCAGCCACACUGGGACUGAGACACGGCCCAG
rnacentral:rRNA from 1 species